GCUGGGUGCAGUGGCGCACACCUGUAAUCCCAGGAGCUCAGGAGGCUGAGGCAGGAGGAUGGUGAGUUCAAAGCCAACCUCAGCAACUUAGCAAGGCCUUAAGCAACUCAGUGAGACCCUGUCUCUA
rnacentral:sRNA from 1 species